AGGAGUGAGUCUGAGUCAUGAACUGAAGCAGCUGGUCAUGGCAAAUAGAAUCCCCCCUCUAUUACUAAGCACGUGUUUUUUCAUAUGACGGUGGUGUUUGGGCCAGUUUGGGCGCUACUCGACUAGUCUACCACCUGCUACCUCCUACAGGUACCAGCUAACUUACUCUAUAUACCAAGAUGUAAGACAUUUUUUGGUACUUACUGGGAAUUGAACUCUUGUAGUGCUCUCCCAUGAUUACUGAUCCCGCUUCAGUGACUACUAGGCCACCUUCUCUGGGUGUGUCAAUUGUAAGCACUUGUCUUCUUUCGUUCUUCUGUUUCCUUUUGGCAAGCCCUUGUAGAAGUGAAAAACCCUAUAAAAAUUUUCAGUUAAGAAUUGCUUGUUGGCACUGGAAGAUGAUAUGGAAGACGUCAAGCUCCUGUUAUGGUAGCUUGCUUUGGGUGGAUGGCAACUCAGAAUAAAUAGCAGAAGCUAGGUUUAGUCGUAUGCACCAGAUGUUAUCUGUGUCUAAAAAAUCAGGAAUCAGUUGAGCACCCUUUUAAACGUAUUACGUUGGUGAUUCACGCCUUGUUAUGUAAAGGAGUUAAUGGGAAGUUGGCAGUAGCAGGUGGUUCCUAAAGAGUUAAAGCAGAUAUGGUGGACUGUUGGCACCAUUGUGCAUUUCUGGAAAGUUGGCAGUGGCAGUUUGAACUGCUUACAAAUUAUGAAGUGCUUACUGUUUCCUCCAUUGAUCUUUGAUGAUGAAGCUUGAUAAUGGCAGAAUGUUGUUUCUAAUAGUUAAUCUAGUGAAUAAGCUUAGCAUUAUGACUGGUAUCUUGAUUUCUAAAGCUUUUACAUUCCGAGUUUCUGGCAAUGAAACAUCGGUUUUUUGGCUCAAUAUAAAGGGUAUAUCAGCUUCAUGUUUCUCAUAUAAUGGCCGUGUUUGGGCCAGCUUGUGCGGAGUUCAAC
rnacentral:lncRNA from 1 species